rnacentral:rRNA from 1 species
UACGUAGGGGGCAAGCGUUAUCCGGAUUUACUGGGUGUAAAGGGAGCGUAGGUGGUAUGGUAAGUCAGGUGUGAAAGCCCGGGGCUCAACUCCGGGAUUGCAUUUGAAACUACCAAACUAGAGUGCAGGAGAGGUAAGUGGAAUUCCUGGUGUAGCGGUGAAAUGCGCAGAUAUCAGGAGGAACACCGGUGGCGAAGGCGGUUGCCUGGAGCUUUGCUGACGCUGAUGCGCGAAAGCGUGGGGAGCGAU